UACGUAGGGGACUAGCGUUGUCCGGAAUCAUUGGGCGUAAAGCGCGUGUAGGCGGUCCGGUAAGUCCGCUGUGAAAGUCGGGGGCUCAACCCUCGGAUGCCGGUGGAUACUGUCGGGCUUGAGUACGGAAGAGGCGAGUGGAAUUCCUGGUGUAGCGGUGAAAUGCGCAGAUAUCAGGAGGAACACCAAUUGCGAAGGCAGCUCGCUGGGACGUUACUGACGCUGAGACGCGAAAGCGUGGGGAGCAAACAGG
rnacentral:rRNA from 1 species